CCUACGGGGGGCAGCAGUAGGGAAUCUUCCACAAUGGGCGAAAGCCUGAUGGAGCAACGCCGCGUGGGUGAAGAAGGUCUUCUGAUCGUAAAACCCUGUUGUUAGAGAAGAAAGUGCGUGAGAGUAACUGUUCCCGUUUCGACGGUAUCUAACCAGAAAGCCACGGCUAACUACGUGCCAGCAGCCGCGGUAAUACGUAGGUGGCAAGCGUUAUCCGGAUUUGUUGGGCGUAAAGGGAACGCAGGCGGUCUUUUAAGUCUGAUGUGAAAGCCUUCGGCUUAACCGGAGUAGUGCAUUGGAAACUGGGAGACUGGAGUGCAGAAGAGGAGAGUGGAACUGCAUGUGUAGCGGUGAAAUGCGUAGAUAUAUGGAAGAAAACCAGUGGCGAAGGCGGCUCUCUGGGCUGUAACUGACGCUGAGGUUCGAAAGCGUGGGUAUCGAACAGGAUUAGAUACCCCUGUAGUC
rnacentral:rRNA from 1 species